rnacentral:rRNA from 1 species
GAGUUUGAUCAUGGCUCAGAUUGAACGCUGGCGGCAUGCCUAACACAUGCAAGUCGAACGGCAGCAUGAGGUGUAGCAAUACACCUUGAUGGCGAGUGGCGGACGGGUGAGGAAUGCAUCGGAAUCUGCCCAGUCGUGGGGGAUAACGUAGGGAAACUUACGCUAAUACCGCAUACGACCGUGAGUGAGAGCGGGGGAUACGAAAGACCUCGCGCGAUUGGAUGAGCCGAUGCCGGA